GAGGAGCAAGAAAGCAACAAGCACUGCUAAUACUUGUCACCAAGGUUAAACUCCAUGGCCCCCUCA
rnacentral:tRNA from 1 species